UACGUAGGGUGCAGGCGUUAAUCGGAAUUACUGGGCGUAAAGCGUGCGCAGGCGGUCUUUUAAGUCAGAUGUGAAAUCCCCGGGCUUAACCUGGGAAUGGCGUUUGGGACUGGGUCGCUAGAGUGUGGCAGAGGGAGGUGGAAUUCCACGUGUAGCAGUGAAAUGCGUAGAGAUGUGGAGGAACACCGAUGGCGAAGGCAGCCCCCUGGGCCAGCACUGACGCUCAUGCACGAAAGCGUGGGGAGCAAACAGG
rnacentral:rRNA from 1 species